GCUGGGUGCAGUGGUGCAUGCCUGUAAUCCCAACAACUCAGGAGGCUGAGGCAGGAGGAUCACAAAUUCAAGGCCAGUCUCAGCAACUUGGUGAGGCCCUAAGCAACUCAGCAAGUCCCUGUCUCUA
rnacentral:sRNA from 1 species